rnacentral:rRNA from 1 species
AAACUUUUGUGUCCCUUGGGUGCCCCUGGGUGUUUGUUCGUCUGCACUUUUAGUUUCUGUUCAUAAGAGCUGGUUGUGUUUGUAUGGCAUUUCUCCCAGUCGCAUCCCUU